AGGUAGUAAAGAUGCACGCCACACGCUUAAAAACAUAACAAGAGGAUUCUUUUGAGGCAGGGAAACCAACUUCGCUCGAAAAAGGUACGCUCGCCAGAUCCUAAGUGUAGAAAACCUCAUCGCGGUCAAUACCGAAAGAGAGCGCCAAAUGCCAUACUCCAUGAUCGUCUUCUCGAAGAAAGAUGUGGUUGACAUACAUCCUCAUAAUGACAACCUUAUGGUCAUUACUAUCAAGUGUGAGGAAUGGGAAAUCA
rnacentral:lncRNA from 1 species